AGAGUUUGAUCAUGGCUCAGAUUGAACGCUGGCGGCAGGCCUAACACAUGCAAGUCGAGCGGAUGAAGGGAGCUUGCUCCUGGAUUCAGCGGCGGACGGGUGAGUAAUGCCUAGGAAUCUGCCUGGUAGUGGGGGAUAACGUCCGGAAACGGGCGCUAAUACCGCAUACGUCCUGAGGGAGAAAGUGGGGGAUCUUCGGACCUCACGCUAUCAGAUGAGCCUAGGUCGGAUUAGCUAGUUGGUGGGGUAAAGGCCUACCAAGGCGACGAUCCGUAACUGGUCUGAGAGGAUGAUCAGUCACACUGGAACUGAGACACGGUCCAGACUCCUACGGGAGGCAGCAGUGGGGAAUAUUGGACAAUGGGCGAAAGCCUGAUCCAGCCAUGCCGCGUGUGUGAAGAAGGUCUUCGGAUUGUAAAGCACUUUAAGUUGGGAGGAAGGGCAGUAAGUUAAUACCUUGCUGUUUUGACGUUACCAACAGAAUAAGCACCGGCUAACUUCGUGCCAGCAGCCGCGGUAAUACGAAGGGUGCAAGCGUUAAUCGGAAUUACUGGGCGUAAAGCGCGCGUAGGUGGUUCAGCAAGUUGGAUGUGAAAUCCCCGGGCUCAACCUGGGAACUGCAUCCAAAACUACUGAGCUAGAGUACGGUAGAGGGUGGUGGAAUUUCCUGUGUAGCGGUGAAAUGCGUAGAUAUAGGAAGGAACACCAGUGGCGAAGGCGACCACCUGGACUGAUACUGACACUGAGGUGCGAAAGCGUGGGGAGCAAACAGGAUUAGAUACCCUGGUAGUCCACGCCGUAUCCGGAUCGAGGACAGUGUAUGGUGGGCAGUUUGACUGGGGCGGUCUCCUCCUAAAGAGUAACGGAGGAGUACGAAGGUGCGCUCAGACCGGUCGGAAAUCGGUCGCAGAGUAUAAAGGCAAAAGCGCGCUUGACUGCGAGACAGACACGUCGAGCAGGUACGAAAGUAGGUCUUAGUGAUCCGGUGGUUCUGUAUGGAAGGGCCAUCGCUCAACGGAUAAAAGGUACUCCGGGGAUAACAGGCUGAUACCGCCCAAGAGUUCAUAUCGACGGCGGUGUUUGGCACCUCGAUGUCGGCUCAUCACAUCCUGGGGCUGAAGCCGGU
rnacentral:rRNA from 1 species